rnacentral:rRNA from 1 species
AGAGUUUGAUCAUGGCUCAGGACGAACGCUGGCGGCGUGCUUAACACAUGCAAGUCGAGCGAUGAAACUUCUUCGGAAGUGGAUUAGCGGCGGACGGGUGAGUAACACGUGGGCAACCUGCCCUAUAGAGGGGAAUAGCCUUCCGAAAGGAAGAUUAAUACCCCAUAAGAUUGUAGUUUCACAUGGAACAGCAAUUAAAGGAGCAAUCCGCUAUAGGAUGGGCCCGCGGCGCAUUAGCUAGUUGGUGAGGUAACGGCUCACCAAGGCGACGAUGCGUAGCCGACCUGAGAGGGUGAUCGGCCACAUUGGGAUUGAGACACGGCCCAGACUCCUACGGGAGGCAGCAGUGGGGAAUAUUGCACAAUGGGGGAAACCCUGAUGCAGCAACGCCGUGUGAGUGAUGAAGGCCUUCGGGUUGUAAAGCUCUGUCUUUGGGGACGAUAAUGACGGUACCCAAGGAGGAAGCCACGGCUAACUACGUGCCAGCAGCCGCGGUAAUACGUAGGUGGCAAGCGUUGUCCGGAUUUACUGGCGUAAAGGGAGCGUAGGCGGACUUUUAAGUGAUGUGAAAUACUCGGGCUCAACCUGAGUGCUGCAUUCCAAACUGGAAGUCUAGAGUGCAGGAGGGGAAAGUGGAAUUUCCUAGUGUAGCGGUGAAAUGCGUAGAGAUUAGAAGAAUACCAGUGGCGAAAGGCGACUUUUCUGGACUGUAACUGACACUGAGCUCGAAAGCGUGGGGAGCAAACAGGAUUAGAUACCCUGGUAGUCCACGCCGUAACGAUGAUACUAGUGUGG